rnacentral:rRNA from 1 species
ACUCAAUAGAUACCCGGGUAGUCCUAGCCCUAAACGAUGGGUACUAGGUAGUAGACUAGAUAUGGGUUUACUGCCGAAAGCUAAAAAGUGCUAAGUACCCCGCCUGGGGAGUAUGGUCGCAAGGCUGAAACUCAAAGAAAUUGACGGGGGCUUACACAAGCGGUGGAGCAUGUGGCUUAAAUUCGAGGCUACGCGAAGAACCUUAUCCUGGACUUGACAUGUGCGAAAGCGCUAGGUAGUAGAAGCCGGAAACGGUAACGAACCCCGCAAGGGGGAGCCUAGUACAGGUGCUGCAUGGCUGUCGUCAGCUCGUAUCGUGAGAUGUCGGGUUAAGUCCCAUAACGAGCGAAACCCUUACCCUUAGUUGCAACCGCAAGGGCACUCUAGGGGGACUGCCGGUGUUAAACCGGAGGAAGGCGGGGAUGACGUCAAGUCCUCAUGGCCUUUACGUCCAGGGCUGCACACGUGCUACAAUGGCGUGUACAAAGCGAAGCGACUACGCGAGUAGAAGCCAAUCGCAAAAAACCGCGCCCCAGUUCAGAUCGCAGG